AGACCCGAAACCCGGUGAUCUAGCCAUGGGCAGGUUGAAGGUUGGGUAACACUAACUGGAGGACCGAACCGACUAAUGUUGAAAAAUUAGCGGAUGACCUGUGGCUGGGGGUGAAAGGCCAAUCAAACCGGGAGAUAGCUGGUUCUCCCCGAAAGCUAUUUAGGUAGCGCCUCGUGAAUUCAUCUCCGGGGGUAGAGCACUGUUUCGGCUAGGGGGCCAUCCCGGCUUACCAACCCGAUGCAAACUGCGAAUACCGGAGAAUGUUAUCACGGGAGACACACGGCGGGUGCUAACGUCCGUCGUGAAGAGGGAAACAACCCAGACCGCCAGCUAAGGUCCCAAAGUCAUGGUUAAGUGGGAAACGAUGUGGGAAGGCCCAGACAGCCAGGAUGUUGGCUUAGAAGCAGCCAUCAUUUAAAGAAAGCGUAAUAGCUCACUGGUCGAGUCGGCCUGCGCGGAAGAUGUAACGGGGCUAAACCAUGCACCGAAGCUGCGGCAGCGAACGUAUCACCCAAGACAACUUUACGGAGUUGACGAUUGACGGAGCGAAGCGACGUCAAAGCGUUCAUUAAAGUCGAGUUGGCUUAGGGAUACGUUCGUUGGGUAGGGGAGCGUUCUGUAAGCCUGUGAAGGUGUGUCGUGAGGCAUGCUGGAGGUAUCAGAAGUGCGAAUGCUGACAUAAGUAACGAUAAAGCGGGUGAAAAGCCCGCUCGCCGGAAGACCAAGGGUUCCUGUCCAACGUUAAUCGGGGCAGGGUGAGUCGACCCCUAAGGCGAGGCCGAAAGGCGUAGUCGAUGGGAAACGGGUUAAUAUUCCCGUACUUGGUGUUACUGCGAAGGGGGGACGGAGAAGGCUAUGUUGGCCGGGCGACGGUUGUCCCGGUUUAAGCGUGUAGGUGUGUGUUCCAGGUAAAUCCGGUUCACUUUAACACUGAGGCGUGACGACGAGGCACUACGGUGCUGAAGCAACAAAUGCCCUGCUUCCAGGAAAAGCCUCUAAGCAUCAGGUAACACGAAAUCGUACCCCAAACCGACACAGGUGGU
rnacentral:rRNA from 4 species